ACAUAUCCUAAAGACUCUCGGCAACGGAUAUCUCGGCUCUUGCAUCGAUGAAGAACGUAGCGAAAUGCGAUACUUGGUGUGAAUUGCAGAAUCCCGUGAACCAUCGAGUCGUUGAACGCAAGUUGCGCCCGACGCCAUCAGGUCGAGGGCACGCCUGCCUGGG
rnacentral:rRNA from 1 species